rfam:Ochotona princeps cont2.70491, whole genome shotgun sequence.
GAUAUUAAACGACAUGGGGUCUAAGUUUUGGAGUACAGUUUUUUUUUGAUAUUGCAAUUAAAGUAAAAUUAAAAAGAAAA